UACGGAGGGUGCGAGCGUUGUCCGGAAUCACUGGGCGUAAGGGCGCGUAGGUGGCGCGACAAGUCAACGGUGAAAGCUCGGCGCUCAACGCCGAGUCGGCCGUCGAUACUGUCGGGCUGGAGCACUGUAGAGGCAGAUGGAAUUCCGGGUGUAGCGGUGGAAUGCGUAGAGAUCCGGAAGAACACCGGUGGCGAAGGCGGUCUGCUGGGCAGUAGCUGACACUGAGGCGCGACAGCGUGGGGAGCAAACAGG
rnacentral:rRNA from 1 species